ensembl:rRNA 5_8S_rRNA 5.8S ribosomal RNA
AACUCUUAGCGGUGGAUCACUUGGCUUGUGCGUCGAUGAAGAAUGCAGUUAGCUGCGAGAAUUAAUGUGAAUUGCAGGACACAUUGAUCAUGGACACUUCAGAUGCACUUGCAGGCCCGGGUUCCUCCCUGGACUACACCUGUCUGAGAAUCA